rnacentral:lncRNA from 1 species
CAUACACACACAUACACACAUACACACCCACUCGUACAAGACUCUCUUGGUUGCAUUAUCUAGUCGAAAGUGAAAUAUUGCAGGGGGGGGGAAAUAUAAACUCAUGUCUAGUAAGGUUUAUUCAUAUAAUAAUAUGUCUAUCGAUCUUGAUUAUAUGUGUAAAUUAAUUGAUAUCUAUUAUAUAUCUUAAUAUCUAAAAAUAUAUAUAUCUACCUUUGUUUCUAACUCUAAUCAUCAUUCAUAUAUUAACACCAUAAUGGAAAUAAUCGCGUGUCCGAAAAGAGUCCUCAGUUGAUGUCCGUUUGAAAUGUCGUUGGCCUUGUUAUGUAAGUCUGCAUUUUUAAUGGUGUCCCCCAGGCUCCCGCCCUGCUGAUAAACCACCCCCAAAUUAAAAACUACCUAAUGCCGUAAUGAUCACUGGAGAUGCCGCGAUAUGAGGUUAAACAGUAUUGUUACCAUCACAAAUGCCUCGACGAAAAGCAUGAUUUAGCUGAAGCAGGAACGAAUGGGCCUGAAGUAGCAACCAAUAGCCAGUCAUAGGAAAGAAGGUUCAUCCACAAGUUAUGGGCUUGCUCUGAAGGAUAUUGUAUCUUCAGAUGGCGGGUUGCUGAUCUCUCGUGAGUUGGGGAUAAAGGUAUCCAUAAUGGUGAUGCCGCGAUAUGAGGUUAAACAGUAUUGUUACCAUCACAAAUGCCUCGACGAAAAGCAUGAUUUAGCUGAAGCAGGAACGAAUGGGCCUGAAGUAGCAAACCAAUAGCCAGUCAUAGGAAAGAAGGUUCAUCCACGUUAUGGGCUUGCUCUGAAGGAUAUUGUAUCUUCAGAUGGCGGGUUGCUGAUCUCUGUGAGUUGGGGAUAAAGGUAUCCAUAAUGGUGGUGAUCUGCUAGAGGGUAUAGCUUUGUUGAUCUCGGUCCAUGGAGUUAAUGUCUAUGUACGCCAACAUUAUAUGUCUUAUGUAAUAUAUACAUAUUAUGUAUAAUGUACUAUUAUGAGUUAUAUUAGUAAAAGAUAUGAAUGUGUUAAUUAACUGUUAAUAAUAUAUUAUAUUAAUGUAUUAGUAAUAUAUGAUUAUUAUGUAUACUAAUUAUAUGAUAGAGGAAUAUAAAUGUAUGCUCUAUAUACAUAAACAUACUAUAAUACAUUAAUAUAUGUACUAAUAUAUAAAUAUGUAUAUUU